rnacentral:lncRNA from 1 species
GAGAGAGAGAGAACUAAAAACCCUGAAGGAUGGUUCUCAAAAAUUCUAAAGGAACCACAGGGAAUUCCUUUUAAGAGCAACAGAAAGCAAGCUAGCUGAGGCUUCUGGACUUUUUGAAUUCUGAAACCAAAAGAAGAAUAAGUCGAAGAAUUCUUACUUUGGUAUGUAGAAGCGUUCCAAUUUGUUUGGUCUAAAAGUUAUCCAUGGAAUUUUCUUCAGAGUGCUCUGUUUCAUUCAAUGUAGUUAAAGGUUGAUUUCAGGUAAUUUCUGAGAUGUGAUGAUUUGGAAAAUGUAAGACAUAAAAAUGAGGAACUUACGCGUUAAUGGCUUUACUUUCAAAAUGCCUAUGUAUCUUUCUGGCAUGAAUUUGACUUGGCUCAUCACAGCUCUGAUAUCCUCUGCACAUUGAGGUGUUGUAGUUACUACUUAAUAUUUGGUCUGGAAAAAAUGAAUCCAGUUGCUAAAGAUUUUGUUGGUGGGUAGUCCGCAGCAGAACGAUUGCUACGGGAGGUGCUGGCUGUAUAAGUCAUGAGCUUUGAUAAUUUCAGUGCUUAACGUACGGCUGCUGGUCUUGAUAAAGUACCACAUGAUGGCUCAUAGUUGCAUUCCUAGUUGAAACUCAGCACAACUCUGGAUUCUGAUUGUUCUACAAAUGAAUGAGAUACAAUAGUAAGGAAAUCCACAGAAUAGUAAAACAGAAUGUUGUUUGUUGGAAUUCAUUUCUGUGGCUGUAGGUAGAAGACGAUAUGGCAAAUUCACUCACCAGAAAAUUGUACUGUGAGUUUUUUGUUUUUGUUUUUGUUUUACAUAAGAGAAAAGAAGGUAAAAAAAAGAGAA